rnacentral:lncRNA from 1 species
UUGCUACAACUUCCACGGAUUUCUGUCAAACCUUUGCUACCAUCUACCACAGAUCCAAAACUUUCAACCACAGCCCUAAAACUCUACAAAACCACACCCUCAAACUGCACCCAAAACUGUCACAAAACAAGCCUAAAUCAUAGCCUACAUCCACCAAUCCACCAACCCUUUUGACCAUCACUUCUCUCAACCUAUACAUGCCUUUAACCUAACAACAAAAGAGAGAUCUUAACAUCAUAGAUUCGGAGGCAUAUAUUAUGGCAUCUAAGGAGGUAAUCAAUGCUAAAUUCGAAGCUUUGGAGGCGCGAAUGGAGGAUAAGAUUCGGAUGCUCUUUACCGAACUCAGAUUGGGCCGACCACUAAGCCCGAAGAAAUCACAUCAAGGAGAGAGCUUUGCCCAAUCAUACCAACCCCAAAGAUAUGACUUCCAAGAGAGGGGAAGCUCUAUGACCAACCCCAACUAUCCAUGCAUGAGAGUGGACUUCCCUAGAUGGGAAGAAGGAGACCCGAUUGGUUGGAUCUCACGCGCGGAGCGAUAUUUUCGGUACCACAAAAUCGCGGAUGUAUCUAUGGUGAAAAUUGCAGCUAUACAUCUUGAAGGGGAUGCUAUACAGUGGUUUGACUGGUUUGAACAUACUUAUGGAGUCCUUUCAUGGCGACAAUUCAAAGAAGGACUGCUGAUUCGCUUCAGACCAACCGAUUACGAGAAUAUUGACGAACAACUAGCAAAGAUCCAACAAACCUCCACCAUUUAGGAGUACCAAACCAGGUUUGAAAGGUUAUCUAAUCAAACUCAUGAUUGGUCUCAAAAACAGCUAUUGUGGACCUUCAUUGAGGGCUUGAAGCCGGAGAUCCGAGGAGAAGUUAAAGCGCGACAACCAUAUACGCUUAUGGCAGCCAUCUCUUUCGCACGACAUCAAGAGGAACAAUUGAACCAUGAAGCUCGGAGGACUAGGGUCUCUCCUCAACCAGUAAUAUUGAAGCCCUUAGCCCCCCUUACUGUCGACCAAGUCCCUACACUAAAGAGGUUAACAAGAGAAGAGCUUCGGGAGCGAUAUGCGAAGGGGUUAUGUUGGCAUUGUGACGAGCCGUGGAGCCGUGAGCAUCGCUGUAGUAAAGGGGGACUUCUUAUGAUUGAACCGAUAGAAGAAGAGGUCAUUGAACAUCCAAAAGAGAGCCUUGAACAUGAAGAAGAAGAUGCAGAAGAAGAGCCACAACCGACCGAAGUUAUGGUACAUACACUAGCUAGCUACUCAAACCCGCAAACGAUGAAAAUUGGAGGCCUUCUCAAACAACAACCAAUCACUGUUCUCAUCGACACGGGCAGUACUACUAACUUUCUAAAUAGUAAGCUUGCUGUUCGGAUAUCAUUACCUAUCAAGAAUCGCUGCAGGUUUGAUGUUAAGGUCACCGAUGGACGGAUUUUGAAUUGUGAUCAUAGGCGCUUGCAGGAGAAACUAUUGCUGCAGGACCAAGAGAUAAUUACAGAUUUCUUCCUUCUCCCUCUUAACAAUCAUGAGGC